rnacentral:misc_RNA from 1 species
AAGUCGUAACAAGGUUUCCGUAGGUGAACCUGCGGAAGGAUCAUUACCGAGUUCAUGCCCCCCGGGGUAGAUCUCCCACCCUUGCUUGUAUUACCUUGUUGCUUUGGCGGGCCGCUCUCUUCGGAAAGCCACCGGCUCCCCGCUGGUGAGUGCCCGCCGAAGACCAACCAACGUCGUAUCACUGCAGCAGUCUGAGUAUAUACAAAUUGAAAUAAAA